UGUACAACUCAAAUUGGUCAUCAAACUAGAUCGAGUCUGGAUGAUUGAUCCAUCGAUCACAAGCAGCUGCACCCGUGGUAAUAAAUAAAUCUAAGAAAACUGCAGCAGUCGUUCGUUUGUGCCAACUGCGUCACCGAGCGCGUCGUGUUCUUCUACUCCGCCGACGGCGCCAGGCUCUUCUUCGAGUGUGAUGGCGCCGUGCACGGGGUUAGCGCGCUCGCGAGCCUCCACCUAUGUGCCCCGCUUUGCGACGCCUGUGACGCCGAACGUGCCGCUCUCUGCUGCCAAAUCGGCGCCCACCGGGCCAUGCUCUGCGCCGGCCGCCGUGCGCUGCUAGACCGCGGCGGUGGAGCCUCCCCCGUGGAUGCUUACACCAGCGGUUAUGCGCCCGCCGAGAUCGUCUGCAUCCUCUCCGUCGACGCGCCGUCGUCGCAUGAGGACUUCGAUGUCUGGCUCGCCGACAACCUCCCCCAAAUCCUACACGAGGUUCAGGUAUAACAUCUACUUGGGUAAAUUUCUAAAUUGCACUUCUUUUUUGCAACUGUAUAUGCAAUUGAAGGAGACUCUUCUUGAUGAUCUUGCGUGCCAAAUCUUACAUGGACAGUUUGAUUGUGUGAUCCAGCGACAAAAUUCAUUGAGUAGUGCUGCUAUAUAUCAGUCAAGGGAAUGGUAUAGAGAAGAGAGGAUGAUGAUAAUACAAAGUGGGUGAGAUAGUAUGAGUGAGUAGUGAAGGGGCAUAGGCUUGGUACUACACCAUCGUACAAACAAGGAAGUGGUUAGUGUGCUAUCUUUGAUGUAAAAGAGGAAGAUUUCUUUCCUGACUCAUCUAAUGGUGGAUCGAUGAUUUAAGAAGCAUAUUCAGUUCUUCUCUCAAUUUUUUGGUGCCAAGCUUGAUCUUUAUCCAACUGACUGACUGACUAAAAGUACCUUCUAAUCACUAUUGAACGCAUAUAUUAGUUAGUUUGACUGUAUACACCACAUAAAGAGAAAAAAAUGAAUUCUAAAAAAGUUAGGCAUAGAUACUACAGAACCAGUGGACCCUCAAGAAACAAAAGGCACACCUGAAGGAUUUUUUCUUAAAAAUGUAUUAAUUUGACUAUUUGAGUAUGCAAAAUGUGCAAUUUCAAUCUUUCCUUUUCGAGGAGAACAGGGGACUGCUACAUACCCAAUAUGGAUGGAGGCUAAUUACUGAUCUUCCAAGUUAAAAAUCUGAAAAUAACUUCAUUUAGUAAUGGAUAUAUGGUCAAGAAAGGAUGCCUUUCCUUAAAGAUACAGAACAAAAUCAUGUUCGUGUAUGUCCGGCUGACAGAUGAAUCAAUCUCCUUUUAAGUUUCAAACCAGCAACCUUUGUGUACGUACAUGUGUUAUCAAGGAUGCACGGAUCCAUUGGCCUGCGUACCACACAUCCCCUCACUAAUUCUAUCAGUGUCAUUCUUAACAAGGUAAGUAUGAUUGCCUAAUCUCUGAUUUUCUUAAUUGAUCUUUGGUCCUUGAUCCCUAAUGUCGUUAUAUUUUAUUGAUUUUAUAAAUGACCUCAAACAGGAACAUACCAUUUUUUAGGCUACAGUUCCUAUAACUUGCCUUGUCAAUUUAAUAAAAUUACAUGUGUGAUGGAGGUUGUAACUUAUUACGGUUUACAUUGUCAAAAUUCUUCAAACCCUAUGUCGAUCCUCACUAUCUUUGAAACAAUCUGAUUUCUGUGUCAUUGCUAAACAUAUGUUUGGUGUGCUGGAUUUUCUGAUGUAAGAGGAAGCUAUUCGACAAUCCUGCUCAAGUUGGUAUAGAUUAGAUCGAUUUUAUUCAGUAAAUAUUUAUGCUUGAUAGAUGAAAGCCUCCCUCUUCUGCCCUUCUUUUCUCCAUCCUCUGUAGGUCGCAAGCACAUGUGAAUCGUUGUCGUCAAGAGCAUGCUUGUGACAUCAUUACUAUACGUGAUGCAUCGCAAAAGGACGUUGUCAGGAGUUAAGUGUUCAAGCGCAAUCUCUAGCCAAGUUCCCUUUGUUGUUGUGUUGAAUUUUGGGGAAAGGCGGCCAAGCAGCUCGUGGCAUCUGUGUCGCGCCUGCUCCGCCGCUACCUUGACUCGCCGACAACGUCGCCCGUUGGGCUGCAGGGGUGCAAGACGACCAUGGGGCCCAUUGCAUGGGUGCUGAGUAUGCUUGAUUUCCAUGUCGGAGACGAAGGCCCUAGAGCUUGGUGGCUUGUGUGUGAUGUUUUUUUCCUCCCAUUGCAACACAUCGAUUGAUUUAUUCAUGCAUCCAUCGAUUUACUCUGAAUUGUUUUCAGUCGUCAAACAUUAACUGGAUUGACUCGUGGAUACGCAUUGUGACAAGUCGUGUGAGAUGAAGGUGGUGAACCAUCUCAAUAUGAAGCCAAGUAUGGUGGAUUUGCCAUGGAUGAUGGUAGACCGGUAAGGUUUAAAGUUUGAAUUGUCAAAUUUUGUGUCACCGAGCUCCUGGACGGUCAAACCUAUAAAGUUCAGUUAAGAUUCAGACUACAUAUGGAUUCCUUUUUGUUGCCGACAAUGCUAGAAUCACGCUAACUAUGUGCAUGGAGUGUACUAGAGAUGAUGCAAAAAUUGCUUGCAGAUAGGCGGCUGGGUGCAUGAAUAAUUGUCAAGGUGGCCAAAGCUAGCGCUAUUUUUGUUGGACUAAAGGAAUUGUAUAAGGUAUUUCGAGGCUCCCUGGUGGUGGAGAUCGACUACGCAGUGGGGAAAUGAGCUAGGGGUUGAUUUUGUAAGCAGAUCAUUAUCCUACCCAAUUAUUGUUGAUAUUAAAUCUGCCGAAGCUCACAGAGACCUUAUGGUUGCGGAUGGUGUCGCGGACCAAUUACAUGCUCUGCUCUGGAAGGAAAAUGAUGCAGCCUUGACGUCGGCCUAAGUCUUGAUGUUUGAUUGGUGAAGCUACAUUCAGCAAAGAAGAUAUGUUUAUUUGUGGGAAUUAAUUUUCGCAGGGAAUAUCCAUCCAUCCAUGCACAAGACUGACAAUAUCAUUCUUUAACAAUGUGCACUUGACCUCUACUCUGUCGUGCGUAGAGAUAAGGCUGGGACAUCUAUUGUUUUUUGUACAAUCUUACACUGUAAAAUAAUUUUUGGUACCAAACAUGUUAACAAGGGCGCAAGUUUUUUCAUACAUAAUUUCAGAAGUACUCCAUCCGUUUGUAAAUAUGUGACAUUUUGGUAGUCUACAUAGGGAGUACUAUAAAAAAUUGGCUGAUUUCCCUAAUAAGUAAAUAAUGGCUAAAGUUUUUUGGAACAUUUAUUUCUGAGCUAUGGAGGAUAAACAAAUAUUAUUCAUGGUAUAUUGUAAUGAUUUACCGGUAAAACGUUACAUGAUAAAAAUAUUGCACCACUACAAUAUCUAUGCCACUAGCCUGA